GUCUUUUAAUAGUUCAUAAGUGUGAUAACUGAGUAUUCACAAUGUUUUGUGACAAGUCAAACCUUGUUAUGACUACAACAUAUUAUGUCUGAAG
ensembl:snoRNA